CAUGGCAUAACCGUGGUAAUUCUACAGCUAAUACAUGAGCAAAAUCUCAACUUUAUUAGAAGAGACGCAUUUAUUAGAUAAAAAGCCAAUGCAUGCUUUUACAGUAUGGAAAUUGGUGAUUUAUAAUAACUUGGCAAAUCGCAAAGUGAAAACAGGCGAUAAAUCAUUCAAGUUUCUGACCUAUCAGCUUUCGACGGUAUGGUAUUGGCUUACCGUGGCAGUGACGGUUAACGGGGGAUUAGGGUUCGAUUCCGGAGAGGGAGCCUGAGAAACGGCUACCACAUCUAAGGAAGGCAGCAGGCGCGCAAAUUACCCAAUUCUAACAGUUUGAGAGAGGUAGUAACAAGAAAUAACAAUACAAGGCAAUUAAAAUGCUUUGUAAUUGGAAUGAUAGAAAUUUAAACCCUUUUUAAAGUAUCAAUUGGAGGGCAAGUCUGGUGCCAGCAGCCGCGGUAAUUCCAGCUCCAAUAGCGUAUAUUAAAAUUGUUGCAGUUAAAAAGCUCGUAGUUGAAGUUCUGCUAAAAGUAACCGGUCUGCUUUUAAUAAAAGUGGUAUCUUGGUGUGUAUUUAGCAAUGAUGUCCUUUGAAGUGUUUUUUACUUUAUUGUAAUAAAGCAUAUUCAGGACUUUUACUUU
rnacentral:rRNA from 1 species